GGGGAUGUAGCUCAACUGAUAGAGCACCUGAUUUGCACUCAGGAGGUUGAGGGUUUGAGACCCUUCAUCUCCA
rfam:Mycoplasma pneumoniae M129, complete genome.